GAACACUUUUUUAAAUUAAAUCCAACCAGGUUAAAGUCGAUAUAUUAAAAAGACAGUAGAAUUUAUAUAUGUAUGUAUAAUUAACAUCAGAGCUAAAAUUUGUAAUGUGCUGGAAACAAACACCACCAAAGACUUUAAAUGAGCAGUGGAGAUUUUCUGAAUAAUUCUCCGAAUUUUCGUGAGUGGGAGAAGUCGCCGCCAACCACCCGCCAUUUGUCUUAACUUUGCGAUUGAAAAUAAAAUUAAAUAUAUAACCCCCAAAGACACAUCUAGAGAAUUCCACAAAUAUCAUUAGUGUUCAUCCAGUCCGCGCUAGCAUUAUUCAGGAUGCUGGCCUGGUUUUCAAUGAUCUAAAACUAGAUGCCCAAAACAAGAAAACACCUUUAUACGAGAACGGACCUCAUAAUCUAAUAAUAACAAUAAAAAGCAAAACCAGUAUUGGCAGCACCAAAGAAAACUAUUUCAAUAUCGAAAAUAAAAAUAGAACAAAAAGAAAUUGAAUUUACGUCGUGGUCGAUCCAUACCAUGGUCCGAAAAGCUCAAACUUGACACCUGUCGAAUUAAAGAGCAAGUGCAGUCUCUUCUAAAUUUAAUUUCAGCACUUAAAAUUGUUUUGGAUCAAAGUGUUGGAUCGCGAUAGCACCGCAUGAGGCCUCCAGGGCUUUUUUAUUUUGCAUGCAGUUGUAACUGCAUUAAAUACAGCAAAAACUGUAACUUAAAUAACUAUUACGAUAAAUUAGGUCAGUUGGUAACAACAGUAACUAUACGCAUAUUUCGUUGUUGGUUUGUGAUAAACGAGUUCUUUAUGAACGAGAUUCGGUUCAAAUAUUUCGAGUCGUUUAAUUGUGCUACCCAAUUAAGAGCGAAACUUAAAAA